GUUAGGAAUAUUGGACAAUGGGCGCAAGCCUGAUCCAGCCAUGCCGCGUGAGUGAUGAAGGCCUUCGGGUUGUAAAGCUCUUUAGUCCACGAAUAUAAUGACUGUAGUGGAAGAAUAAGCCCCGGCUAACUUCGUGCCAGCAGCCGCGGUAAUACGAAGGGGGCGAGCGUUAUUCGGAAUCACUGGGCGUAAAGCGUGCGUAGGCUGUUUUGUAAGUCAGAAGUGAAAGCCCAGGGCUUAACCCUGGAAUUGCUUUUGAAACUACAAGACUCGAAUUCGGGAGAGGAUAGCGGAAUUGUCAGUGUAGCAGUGAAAUGCGUAGAUAUUGACAGGAACACCAGUGGCGCAAGCGGCUAUCUGGACCGAUAUUGACGCUGAGGCACGAAAGCGUGUGGAGCAAACAGGAUUAGAUACCCGUGUAGUCC
rnacentral:rRNA from 1 species